rnacentral:tRNA from 1 species
UCCCUGGUGGCUCAGAGGUUAAAGCGUCUGCCUGAAAUGCGGGAGACCCGGGUUCCAUCCCUGGGUCGGGAA